AGGAUGAACGCUAGCGGCAGGCCUAAUACAUGCAAGUCGAACGAUACCAAGGAGCUUGCUCUUUGGGAAAGUGGCGCACGGGUGCGUAACGCGUAUGCAACCUACCUUAAUCAGGGGGAUAGCCCGAAGAAAUUCGGAUUAACACCGCAUAAAAACACAGGGUAGCAUUACCUAAUGUUCAAAUAUUUAUAGGAUUAAGAUGGGCAUGCGUGUCAUUAGCUAGUUGGCGGGUAACGCCACCAAGGCGACGAUGACUAGGGGAUCUGAGCGGAUGGACCCCCAGACUGAACUGAGACACGGACCAGACUCACGGAGCAGCAGUGGGAAUCUGGACAAGUGGGCGCAAGCCUGA
rnacentral:rRNA from 1 species